AGUAUACCAAUUUCCCCGGAAAACGGUAAUAGUGCGUGUAAACAUACUCCCAAGAAAAUCCGCUAAACUUAAUCUUACAGGUACCCGUACCGUAAACGGACACACGUAGUCGGGUUGAAUAUACUCAGGCGCUUGAGUGAAUCACGGUUAAGGAACUAGGCAAAUUGACCCUGUAACUUCGGGAUAAAGGGUCCCUACCCGGUGACGGGAGGGCGCAGAGAAUAGGUCCAGGCAACUGUUUAACAAAAACACAGGGCUGUGCAAAAUUGAAAGAUCACGUAUACAGCCUGACACCUGCCCGGUGCUGGAAGGUUAAGAGGAGAUGUCAUCGCAAGAGAAGCAUUGAAUUGAAGCCCCAGUAAACGGCGGCCGUAACUAUAACGGUCCUAAGGUAGCGAAAUUCCUUGUCGGGUAAGUUCCGACCUGCACGAAUGGUGUAAUGAUCUGGACACUGUCUCAACCGUGAGCUCAGUGAAAUUGUAGUAUCGGUGAAGAUGCCGAUUACCCGCGAUGGGACGAAAAGACCCCGUGAACCUUUACUAUAGCUUAACAUUGAAUUUGGGUAAUUGAUGUGUAGGAUAGGCCGGAGACUUUGAAGC
rnacentral:rRNA from 1 species